GAUGAACGCUGGCGGCGUGCCUAAUACAUGCAAGUCGAGCGAACGGACGAGAAGCUUGCUUCUCUGAUGUUAGCGGCGGACGGGUGAGUAACACGUGGAUAACCUACCUAUAAGACUGGUAUAACUUCGGGAAACCGGAGCUAAUACCGGAUAAUAUUUUGAACCGCAUGGUUCAAAAGUGAAAGACGGUCUUGCUGUCACUUAUAGAUGGAUCCGCGCUGCAUUAGCUAGUUGGUAAGGUAACGGCUUACCAAGGCAACGAUGCAUAGCCGACCUGAGAGGGUGAUCGGCCACACUGGAACUGAGACACGGUCCAGACUCCUACGGGAGGCAGCAGUAGGGAAUCUUCCGCAAUGGGCGAAAGCCUGACGGAGCAACGCCGCGUGAGUGAUGAAGGUCUUCGGAUCGUAAAACUCUGUUAUUAGGGAAGAACAUAUGUGUAAGUAACUGUGCACAUCUUGACGGUACCUAAUCAGAAAGCCACGGCUAACUACGUG
rnacentral:rRNA from 1 species